rnacentral:rRNA from 1 species
UACGUAGGGUGCGAGCGUUGUCCGGAAUUAUUGGGCGUAAAGAGCUCGUAGGCGGUCUGUCGCGUCGGUCGUGAAAACUUGGGGCUUAACCCUGAGCUUGCGGUCGAUACGGGCAUGACUGGAGUUCGGCAGGGGAGACUGGAAUCCCUGGUGUAGCGGUGAAAUGCGCAGAUAUCAGGAGGAACACCGGUGGCGAAGGCGGGUCUCUGGGCCGAUACUGACGCUGAGGAGCGAAAGCGUGGGGAGCGAACAGG